AUACGGAGGGUGCAAGCGUUAUUCGGAAUCACUGGGCGUAAAGGACGCGUAGGCGGGUUGGCAAGUCAGAUGUGAAAUCCUACAGUUUAACUGUAGAACUGCAUUUGAAACUGCUAACCUAGAGUAUGGGAGGGGGAGAUGGAAUUAGUGGUGUAGGGGUAAAAUCCGUAGAUAUCACUAGGAAUACCGAAAGCGAAGGCGAUCUCCUGGAACAUAACUGACGCUAAGGCGUGAAAGCGUGGGGAGCAAACAGGAUUAGAAACCCCAGUAGUCC
rnacentral:rRNA from 1 species